GCUCCGGUGGCCUAGUGGUUAGAGCGUCCGCCUUGGAUGCUGUAGGUUGUGGGUUCUAUCCCCGGUCGAAUUA